AGAUCGUUGGUGAAGUGGUUAUCAUGCUUGCCUUCCAUCAAGACGUAGCGAGCUGUGAGCAAGCGGCUCGGGUUCGAUUCACGAACGGUGUA